rnacentral:rRNA from 1 species
UACGAAGGGGGCUAGCGUUGUUCGGAAUCACUGGGCGUAAAGGGCGCGCAGGCGGCCAUUCAAGUCAGAUGUGAAAGCCCCGGGCUCAACCUGGGAGGUGCAUUUGGGACUGGAUGGCUUGAGAUCGGGAGAGGAGAGUGGAAUUCCCAGUGUAGAGGUGAAAUUCGUAGAUAUUGGGAAGAACACCGGUGGCGAAGGCGGCUCUCUGGACCGAUGCUGACGCUGAGGCGCGAAAGCGUGGGGAGCAAACAGG